rnacentral:tRNA from 1 species
CCUGGUGGCUCAGAUGGUAAAGCGUCUGCCUACAAUGCAGGAGACCCGGGUUCAGUCCCUGGGUCAGGA